UGGUCUAAUAGGCCCAUGCAGAAAUGAGGCAAAUAUGCCAGGGAAUGAAUCCUGAGAAUUUUGGAAGGAGUGGAAUUGGAACAGAGGUGAAUACAAGGCUGGGUCUUAUCCUGAUUCCUACUGGUUCCACUUUCUCCUACCUGCUGAAUGGUACCUUUAAGAAGAAAGGAAAGUUUAAAAGGAAGGAGAGCAAAAAGAAGGUAUUUUCAUGUCUGUAUGGCUAAUGUGACCUGUAAAUAAACCAUAACAUA